GUAGGAUUCUACUGACGACUACAUGCUCUAGCCUGGCUGUAUUGGCAGAGACCUAAGACACCUUUGGAGAGGUGGCCUCAGCUGUUGAAGAGGAAGGUGAACUGAGGAAGACUGAAAGAAGAUUUACCAUCUCUGUGUUUUGUUUACUAUACGAGCUCCGGUGCGUUAGGCGCUUAUAGUUUUAUUGUGAAUACCUUCGUUAACUAUUGCUCCGAAGGUAUGUUUAUUUGAUUGUUUCAUUAUUAUUGUAUUGACUAUCUUACUAUUUAGAUAAUAAAUCAUUGUGCAUUUUAAGUUA